ACUAAUUCAAAGAAUCGAGGACCCUUUUGAAGACCACUCUCGGAUUCAAGAAUGAAAUACAAGAAGGAUAAUAUAACUAGGUGUUUGACACCUUUUGCAGCCAACAACAAACUAAGUUAACAACACAAGAUGAAACAACAAUGAGAACAACAACAACAACAACAAAAAUGGCUUCACAAUACAAGAAACAAAACGGAUACAAGAUUACAAAAGAAAAAGGAUAGAUAG
rnacentral:lncRNA from 1 species